ensembl:lncRNA
AAUUUUGUCAUACAUUUAUGAAGAUUAAAAUUGGACUCAUAAAUGUGUUUAGUUAUCUGAAAGAAGUCGAUUCUGAUUAUGUUUUGAGCUAAAAUUAAUGAGAAAUUAAAACUCUUACAGAAUAUUAAGAUAUACAGUGUUGUAUAGAUUUACAACUUUAAUAAAAAGAAGAUAUAUCCAAGUUUCUUUCCAAUUUUUUUUUUUUUAUAUUUAUUUUAUUUCAUUUUUUUCCUCAGAAUACCACCCUUACCUCCACAAGUUUUUUUUUUUUUUUUUUUUUAAACCUUGAACGGCUCUAGUGUGGCAUCAUAUGAACAUCUUAGUCUUUUGAGUUCUCUGGAGUGAUUUUUUUUUUCCCAGUCGUGAUUGUCUCUAACUCAGGCACUUUACGUGAUUGACUUCUGUCUUUACACCUAAUGCGUGAUCAGGCAUUAGUUCAAUAUGAUUUUGCACAAAUCUGAAGUCCCGACUUCACCCGAAACCCUCCGCACCAUGCACAGUAAUGCAUUCUCUCUUCAGAUGUCGUUGUUUGGCGGGAGGGUACUACGGCACAUAUUGCAACACCCAGCACUACUACCACAUGGUCAUGAGGAAAAGAAAAAACCUACCCGAGUUCCUGUGAAAAACAGCCUCGGUUUACCUCAGGCGCUCCCACGUUUCCUCAAAAAGCUACUCAGGGAUCUGAGUCAGCAGCUCUUAUCUGAAAUCACUUUAUGGCAAUAAAACCCUCAAUCUUUACCCAGCCAGGGUUGAAAACGUACCUAUUUAGGGUUUUUUGGCGAUUCUGCGUGCCGUUUUUCCCAUGAGGUGAUUAAACAGAUUGAAAAGUUUAAUUUUGAAAUGAAUGUUUCCAGGCCUUUACAGAAUCACUAUAAUACAGCAAUAUCUAUAUAAAGAGCGUAGCAUUGAAAACCCCAAAGGUCUAUUUUGUUCCCCGUAGAGUCAACCCUUCAGUUGUAAAUGGAAUAACAUGUUUUCUGCUUACCUUGCAUUUUUACCUGUAUCCGUUCCACCUCUGAACCUCCAAAAUUUCACACGCCUUAAUGGAAACUAGCCUCCCCAGACUGGCCGGUGCUCGCAGAUGAAAAAGUUAACCACGAUUCCAGCCACGGAGGGUAGACGUGUUUGGGUUGGAAGGCGAGUUAACCGCACCAGGUGUAGGAGAACAGAGGGCCAUUUUGUAGGGCCCGUGAAACAGGAUGGAGGAGCUUUAUUUUCAUGUUCCACCUGCUUCACAUUCAGUCUGCGCACGGGAACAAAAGCAGCUCUCAGAACAGGUCUGCUGAUUCAGGAAUAUCCCACAUGGUCAUAAAUGCUAUAUUUUCUAAUGUAAAUAUAUUUAGCUGUGAGUCGAUACAAACUUAAUUGGAAAACAGAAAGAAAAUCAGAGUGUAUACUGUUGUUGUGCUGUUUGAAACCUUUUUUUUACAUUUUUAUAUAUCUAGUGUCAACACUUUGUGAUUCUUUUUUCUGUAAGCUGUAGUUCCUUUUCAUUUGAGCACAUCUGUAUUUUAUUGCUUUCAUCUCUUUCUACAAACAUAUACAUAUAAAUAAAACUCUAUAUAUCAGUGUUAUUGUAGUUUGAUAGAAUAAAAGUGUGAAAUCAUUAAGAAAUCCUUUUCGUGUAAUAAUCACACUCCACUGAAUAUCAGGAGGUUUGUACUGGUUGUAGUGCAUGAGGUGUCUUAAAUAAAGAAAACCUUUACAAUCAUUUCUCUGUAAAGUCGUGUUUGUGUGUGU